UUUGGGCAGAGCGCCCCCUUGCCCUCGCCCUCCUUACAGCCCCGAGUGCUGAAAAAGGCAGGCACGCCGCCGCGGGCGGAGCCGGGGACCGGCCUCCUCUGGUCUCAACUUGAGCGACGGGUGUGGUUUCAGUCUGGGAUUGCGCGGGUAUCCUGCGCAGCCCUUUGGGGCCAUCCCUUGGUGGAGUCUUGGGGUGGGGCCCAUCUGCAACGGUGAAGAUGGAUAGGAAGUGCCUGUGGGUUUUGUCCUUCUCUGCCAGUUCCGCCUUUGUCGUCGGGGUUCAAGGAGGUCAGGCCCUACCGCCCACUAGCUUCCCUGGCCUCACCUUCUCAGCCUUACUCUCACCGGCUUCUGUUCCGUCCCCACCUCCCUGUUAUCUUUUUGCGUUAGGGGUACCACGUCACCGUCAAGGAAUGUUAGGCGAGCCCCACCCUUUUUUGCUGACGGAAACUAAGAUCGUGCCCUUGGGAACAGCCAGAAAAGAUUAGAACCCCAUCUUCCCACCCCAAGUCAGCGUCUUCUAGCAGUGUUUACUUUAAAGCCUUGGAUGUUCCCAGGAAUCCCAGUUCUGGAGCUAGUUAAUGGAUGGUUUCAAGGCCAACGGGGUUUGUCAAAGGUGCUUUCUCCCUUUUUUGGGAAGAUUCACAAUGCUCGUUAGCAUAUCAAAGGCUCUGAGAAGUCCCGCACUGAAGAGGCCCCUGAGUAAUGUAAUUUACAGUGUUAAGUGCCUCUGGACUGGGAUCAGUUUUUCCCAUCUUAGGUUCCAAGUAGUCCUGACUCUCACUUAUCAGCAGGGGGCCCAGCCCGUUGGCUGUGGUCCGUUUGAAGAGGUGUGGCACUCCCUCUCUUCCCCAGGGAAUUUCUACAGCAGAGAGAACCCACUACUCCCCGUGUAAAAGAUGAUAGUCAGUCACCCCUGCCAGGCCAAUGGUAGCCUGGGGGACGGUGGAUUGGAACAUUCCUUUACGAAGGGAAACGCUUCCCACUCCAGUAUUCUGGCCCGAAGAAUUCCAUAGUCCGCGGGGUCACAGAGUUGGACACUACUGAGUGACUUUCACUUUCACUUUACGUUUUUUUUGGGGAAAUGACGCCAAGGUUAUCCGGAUGGUUUCCCGGUUUCCCAGUCAAAAGAAAUAUCACCCAUGAGAGAUGCUGACAUUGACCAUGAGCAACUGACAGCAGUGGGUCACACCAAACGGAGAGCACUCGAUCUGGGAUGAGCAGCUGGCCAGCUGUAAGAUCAUCACAGAAGCUGCAUCUGCAGCUCAGAUCCGGCCCACUGAGGACCUCUUCUUAGCCCCAAGCCCAUGGUGCUCUGUCUGUGAUCAGGUGACCUUACUCGGGAGCAGACGUCUCCCUGGCCUUCUUGGUACCUUUUCCAGCCACACGUGCCUGAAACAUUCCAGAGCUCACUGGCUCUGCUAGCUGUGCCUUCCUGCUUGGCCUCCCACUGCUUCUCCAGAUGUGGGAAGGACCUGAAGACAGCCCCACACCAUCUUCUGCUCCCUUCCAGGACCCGGGCUGUGGGUAAGGCCAUCUGAAGUUGGCCUGGAACUUUGAGUUCUGGACGCAGCCUCCUUGGCCUCCCUCUUUGGACUCCAGGACUCUAUCCAAUCUGAGUUUGCUGUGGGCUGCCCCCAGCCCAGAAGUCUGGGACCACUUACAGGCCCAGGAGAGGAUUUCUCCAGUGUUCUGCGAAGGCCAAAAGAGAGGGUGGGUGAGGAAGGGUAGGGAGAGGGGACUGAAGUGCCUCAUUCAGUAGUUUAGUGGUGAUGACCGAUACGCUUUUCUGAAUAAACUUUGGUUUGUCUGA